ACCUUUUAACUUCCAUUGCAGUCAAAAUCUAUUUGACACAUUUCAUCCACUUAUCACUUAAUCAACCUUGAAAUCAAAUAUUUGACUCCUACAAAUUAAAAGGUAAAAUGGUCGAAUUACAUUUUACUCACUAAAACCUUUAAAAUAAUUAAAUCAAAAAAAGAAGAAGAAAGAACUGUUCAUCUUUUCCACACCCUUCCCCAAAUCCCAAAUCCAAAAAAUGAAAAUCCAACCACCUCGACCACCGCCCUCGAACCGCCUACCGUCGCUACCGCCAUCACCCCGCUCUGAAUACGAGCUUUGCUCUGGAGGAACUUGUAGAAGAGGUUAAUGGAUUGAACCAUAAUCCUCUCCUCUGGACUUUUGUGCUCACCAUGGCUGCUGAAUUUGGAAGCUCUGACGCCAAAUUCAACCUUUAGGGGUCUGUCCGCAACCAUACAUUGCCAAAAAAUUGUGGUUGGAAUUAUAAUAAUAAAGCAGCGUUUUUCCAUUUUUCUAACAUUAUUAGAGUAAAUAUUAUUCAACGAGCUUUGCUUUGGAGGAACCUGAAGAUGAGGUUAAUGGAUUGAGUCAUAAUCCUUCGGGCUUUUGUGCUUGCUAUGUCUACUGAAUUUGAAAGCUCCAGCGCCAAAAAAAUAUUUCCUUUCUUCUUCUAAUGCAACACAGAAAAACAGCGAAAUCCUGAAAAUUUGCAGAACAAUUUUUUUGGAUUUUCAGUUUUUGGAUUUGGGGAAGAGUUGGGUUGGGGAUGGGAGAAGA
rnacentral:lncRNA from 1 species